UUCUUUUUAUUAUCCCUAAAUGAAAUUGAAAACUGGAGAGAGAAAGAGAAACUGAAAAAAGGAAGAGAAGUAUCGACACUAGAUUAAUUCGCGUGCUUUCCUCCAUCGCCGAUCACCACCGCCGUAACCGUUACCAUCGCCGACAGUCGCCGUCCAUCAUCCUACUCCUUGGACCUCAUUUCCAUCUGAUCCACCUCAGAUCUGCAUCGCUGUCAUCAUUUGUUCAUCUCAGAUUUUAGUCGCCAAUGUCUUCUAGCCACCGUUACUGUUCUUGUUACAACACCACACCUCCGCCGCUUGUACCGCCGCUGUUCUUGCAUGUAGACGCACAAGAUCGCCGCUGUCGGUUCAAGCAGAGGCCUCCUCUACCUUGGAAAGCAAUCAAUUACUCGGAGAGAGGUUUGCAAGGGAGGAAGAGAAGGUGGCAAGAAAUCAGCCCAAUCACAAGCCUCCACCAAGGCUUCUUCAGCAUGAAAUCUCACUUUCUCAUCCUAAUCGAAGAAAUAAAGUGCCGUCUGCAAAUGCUACUGCAAGUCAAGCUGCAAAGAGGCCCUCUUCUUUUGGUGGCCCUGCUCAUGAUGAAAAGGUGUCAUUUAAUUCUCGCAAGUUACAUGGUAUACGAAGUUGAAUGCUCAGAUCAUUUGAAACAAAAGCUGGCUGAAAACAUGAUUGCUCAUAAGGAAGAGAUCUUUUCCUGCCCUAAAAGAACUUGGUUUGUAGCAGAGACAGAAAAGAAGGUUGCUGCAAAAGCAGCAAAGGCAUCUAUUAAUAACGACAAGAGUUUUGGAAAGGUAAUUAGUGCUCAGGAAGCCGAAGACCUCAAAAUGAAGAAAAAGAGGAAGCGGGAGCGAGAGGUAAGUAGGUGACCCCUAUUUCGCAUGCAAUUUUUAAUUAUUGUACCUAUUACGAUAUAUAUUCAAACUUGUUUCCAUGCAUUAUUCAAUAAUUGCAUGAUGGAUUUUUAACCAAAAUUUUGGCAUGGAUGGUUGUUAGUCAUUACUGCUAACUGUGUGAUAUACCAUGUAUCAAGUGAGACUUGUACCAUAUCCAGUCACCAAUAGAGGUGAUUAAAUGAGCAGCUCCUACCACCUGCAAAGAGAGCUGGUUAAAAGCUGAAGAGCCGAAUUGUAGCGGAGCAAUCCAUACAUAAAUGGUCUCAUAUAAUUGAGUGAUUGAGAACUUUGCUUCAUUCUCUUUGCUGUAUUAUUGUAUUGCAUGUGAGCUAGGCUCUAUUUGUUUUCUUUUGAUCAUUAACUAUGUGCUAAUCAUUGAUGUAACAUAGAUUUGUAGUAUUUGUGUUGUUUGAAUUUGUAUUAUGCUUUAUUACAUUUCAAGAGAACUUUGUGUAUAAAUAUUUAAUUAUAUUGAAUUUAAUGAAAUUCUUCAUUUUGUAGUAA